AUCAGGCCGGUUCGCCCGGCCAGGCCGGCGCCGAUCAGGCGAAUCCGGUCCGGCGCCCGUCGAUAACCUGGUGCCACG
rnacentral:ncRNA from 1 species